GCCUACGGGAGGCAGCAGUGGGGAAUAUUGCACAAUGGGCGGAAGCCUGAUGCAGCAACGCCGCGUGCGGGAUGACGGCCUUCGGGUUGUAAACCGCUUUCGCCUGUGACGAAGCGUGAGUGACGGUAAUGGUA
rnacentral:rRNA from 1 species